rnacentral:rRNA from 1 species
UGAUGUGUUCAGACACAGGGAUUGCCCCAGUAACGGCGAGUGAAGCGGCAACAGCUCAAAUUUGAAAUCUGGCCCUUGGGUCCGAGUUGUAAUUUGUAGAGGAUGCUUUUGGCGAGGUGCCUUCCGAGUUCCCUGGAACGGGACGCCAUAGAGGGUGAGAGCCCCGUCUGGUCGGACACCGAGCCUCUGUAAAGCUCCUUCGACGAGUCGAGUAGUUUGGGAAUGCUGCUCAAAAUGGGAGGUAUAUGUCUUCUAAAGCUAAAUAUUGGCCAGAGACCGAUAGCGCACAAGUAGAGUGAUCGAAAGAUGAAAAGCACUUUGAAAAGAGGGUUAAAAAGUACGUGAAAUUGUUGAAAGGGAAGCGCCUAUGACCAGACUUGGGCCCGGUGAAUCAUCCAGCGUUCUCGCUGGUGCACUUUGCCGGGCACAGGCCAGCAUCAGUUUGGCGCGGGGGAAAAAGGCUUUGGGAAUGUGGCUCCCUCGGGAGUGUUAUAGCCCAUUGUGUAAUACCCUGCGCCGGACUGAGGUACGCGCAUUGCAAGGAUGCUGGCGUAAUGGUCAUCAGCGACCCGUCUUGAAACACGGACCAAGGAAUCGUCUUCGUAUGCGAGUGUUCGGGUGUCAAACCCCCUACCCGUAAUGAAAGUGAACGCAAGUGAGAACUUCCGCGCAUCAUCCACCGAUCCUGAUGUUCUCCGAUGGAUUUGAAUAAGAACAUACCGGGCCCGACCCGAAAGAAAGUGAACUAUGCCUGUAUAAGGUGAAGCCAGAAGAAACUCUGGUGGAAGCUCGCAGCCGUUCUGACGUGCGAAUCGAUCGUCAAAUAUGGGCAUGGGGGGCGGAAGAACUAAUCGAACCUUCUUAGUAGCCUGGUUUCCGCCGAAAGUUCCCCUCAGGAGAAAAG